rnacentral:rRNA from 1 species
CAGUCGCCGCGGUAAUACGAAGGGGGCUAGCGUUGUUCGGAUUUACUGGGCGUAAAGGGCGCGUAGGCGGACUGAUAAGUCAGGGGUGAAAUCCCAAGGCUCAACCUUGGAACUGCCUUUGAUACUGUUUGUCUUGAGUUCGAGAGAGGUAAGUGGAACUGCGAGUGUAGAGGUGAAAUUCGUAGAUAUUCGCAAGAACACCAGUGGCGAAGGCGGCUUACUGGCUCGAUACUGACGCUGAGGCGCGAAAGCGUGGGGAGCAAACAGGAUUAGAUACCCGAGUAGUCCCUGUCUCUUAUAC